rnacentral:rRNA from 1 species
AUAAUGGGUCAGCGACUUAUAUUCUGUAGCAAGGUUAACCGAAUAGGGGAGCCGAAGGGAAACCGAGUCUUAACUGGGCGUUAAGUUGCAGGGUAUAGACCCGAAACCCGGUGAUCUAGCCAUGGGCAGGUUGAAGGUUGGGUAACACUAACUGGAGGACCGAACCGACUAAUGUUGAAAAAUUAGCGGAUGACUUGUGGCUGGGGGUGAAAGGCCAAUCAAACCGGGAGAUAGCUGGUUCUCCCCGAAAGCUAUUUAGGUAGCGCCUCGUGAAUUCAUCUCCGGGGGUAGAGCACUGUUUCGGCAAGGGGGUCAUCCCGACUUACCAACCCGAUGCAAACUGCGAAUACCGGA